CCUACGGGAGGCAGCAGUGAGGAAUAUUGGUCAAUGGCCGCAAGCCUGAACCAGCCAAGUAGCGUGAAGGACGAAUGUGCCAAGCAUUGUAAACUUCUUUUAUCAAGGAAUAAAGUCAGGCUCGUGAGCCUUAUUGAAGGUACUUUAUGAAAAAGCAUCGGCUAACUCCGUGCCAGCAGCCGCGGUAAUACGGAGGAUGCGAGCGUUAUCCGGAUUUAUUGGGUUUAAAGGGUGCGUAGGGGGGCUGUUAAGUCAGCGGUAAAAGUCCGGGGCUCAACCCCGACGAGCCGUUGAAACUGGCUGUCUUGAGAUGUCUAGAGGUAUGCGGAAUUCGCAGUGUAGCGGUGAAAUGCUUAGAUAUUGCGCAGAACUCCGAUUGCGAAGGCAGCAUACCGGCGGCGAUCUGACGCUGAGGCACGAAAGCGUGGGUAUCGAACAGGAUUAGAUACCCCUGUAGUC
rnacentral:rRNA from 1 species